ensembl:lncRNA
UAAUUUUAUGCAGCCAACUGAGGCACUAUUUUCAUUUCUGAAUUCUCAAUCAAGCCCUGAGGCAAAAUGAUCCUGUUUCUUAGCAACCCAGAUGGGCAGAGCCAGAUUAUACAUUUGAGCUCUUUUGUACAACAAAAGAAUAAAUAGCUCCCAGAAUAAACAUGUGCUGUGAGUUCAUCUCUUUGCUCAGCGUCCCCUAGCACUGUAGAGAAGAGAAGCCCGGCUGUGUGAUACAACACGUGAAGCUGGGCAGAGAAACCUGACUUUACAGAGUGUUCUAUUGGGCAGGACUCUGGGAGCCCACCAGAGGGGUUGCAAACCUCCUGACUACCAUAAGGCCUUGCUGUGAGGGGACAAGGAAGGCUGGUUGAGGAACAGGGUCAGUAGAGCCAUGACAAUCUGCAUCCUCUUUCUAGAUGGGGUUAAAAUACCUGUGAGGAAAAAUCCCAUAAUGCUCACCACUAGCUACAAAGGCAGACAGCCCACCUUCUCUUUUGAAAGACAAAUCAAAUUUUCUGCAUGCCUGGAUUUGGCCUUUGCACAGAAUCAAAGUUUUGUGCAGCAGCUCCGAGCCACCCCGCAGAGAGAUAUAUGGCAAAAGCAGCCUCCUGAUUUUAGCUACAAAUUCUAUAAAUCUUCUAGGCCUUCACGAAAACCACUAGAAAAGGAAAAGGAAGAUUUGAAGAAGGCCAAUAGCACUGAGACUAAGCAACAGCUGCCAAAGAUAAAGACCAGCCAGUUCCACACUGCUUCGGAAAGGAAGAAAGAGUUGCCCAAGAUUGUCACAAGGUUUCCACACGUGGGCUCAUAUGAAGUGGAUAUAAUGUUUGUGGAGAAUGGAAAAUAUAAGACUGGCAUAUACCAAGAUCCCAAACCACAUGAUUUUAGGCAGUAUGAAACUAAUAUACCAGACUUUGUGACAAGUUACUCCAGAGACCCUUUCAAUUUAAAGUUCAAAUCUCAACAUUUAAAUGCAAUUCAUGGACUUCAGCCAUUGAAAGACAAGCAAAAGGACACCAAGGGGAGAUUCAUUACUUACAAGCCUUGUGAAUGCAAAUGGGAAUCCAGGCUAAUUCUGCCAAAGAACCCUUGGCCACCGAAGUCUGCUUCAUUUACGAGACACAGAAGGCGACGUGGUGCCCACACGGCGUUCCUAGAUCGUGUGGAUGAAAAGCUAUGUACAAUAUGGCAGGAGGAAGCCUGCCAGCCCAAAUAGCAGGAAGAGGAAAAAGCAAUGCAGUGGAAUUUUUCUAGCAGGAUCCAAGUCAAUGCACCAAGUCCAGCCCUAUGAAAUGUAUGAACCUCAGCAAAUCCUGUGAAAGAUACUAGUGGUGCUUCGCUGCAUUUCUUGUACGUCCUGUUGUGCCAGAUGUCAAAUUUUUGAGAACUCCAACCUGGAAUAACUAACAAGGGCUAGAUCCUGAGCUGUUGUAAACCGGCAUAGAUUGCUCCAUUGACUGAGGAUCUGGAAUAUCUUUAGCACAAUACAGCAGGCAUAACUUUAAAUUUAUACCAGUAUAAAAUGGAAACCCUAAAUCUACUACAGUUUUGCUAAGCUUUGUGUUGUCUUAUCUUUAUAACUGACCAUGGCAACUCUCUCCCUUAUGGAGUUUUUAUUCCUGAAGGAAUGAAGUGGUUGAUACUAUGACUUUCUCAUCCCUAAGAAUGUCUUUUUAUUUUUCUUUCUCCUUCCUGCUCCUCAGUCUCUUCCCCUUCUCAUUAACCCACAUUCCCCUCAUAUUUACUUCCCACACUUUCCCAACAAAUCCACUCCCUCUUCUCUCUAUCUAGACUCCACCUUUUUUAUUUUCUCUCCAAGUUACUCUCCUUUUUCUCCAUCAUUGUAUAUGAAGGAAGGGAAGAGUGAAAGGGGAUGAAGCAAGGGAGCACCACAUUCCCUCUUGUUCUCUGCUUAAUGGCACUCAAUAGAUUCACAGUCUACAGUUUAUUCUCCUGAGGGCUGUAAUACUUUGGUCUAAGUCUGGAUGUUGGAUUUAAUAUGUGGGUGCCGGGUGGUGUUGGUAGUCUGUGAUACACAGGAGGUCAGACUAGAUGGUUUGGCCUUAAGCUCUUUGACUGUCUCUUUGACUCCUGAUGAAAGCCAGAAUGCCCAGUGUUAACGUAUCUUCUGCAGCCCUCUCCCAAGCGAAGAGUUUGGGAACAAUGCCCUGUACCAGCAUGAUCCCACAAUCCCUUCCUCUCCACCCUCACUGAAAGAGUGGAAGUUUUGGCACCGACUCCAGUGGGAGCAGAAUCAAGCCAUGAGAAUUGGAUACUGUGAGGGGGAUUCAAUUCUUGGUGAAGCUGGUGAUCAGCAUCUCUGAGGGUUAGGCUCUUCGAUUGUGAAUUUCUGAGGGUCGGGGCUUGUCUUUUAAAAAGGCUUUAAGGCCCCAGAAGUACAAUUGCAGCAACCUAUAAAUAACACUGUGAGACAAUAUCCAUUUGUCACAUACCCCACUUGAAAUAUUCUGGAGGCAAUGGUGUGUGGUGGGGAAUGUUGUAAUAUUUGAAGAUUUGUGAGUUAGGUAAAACACUAAAAAAAGCAAAGUGACCUCGAUGUGACCCACUGGGGUUCCAGCUGAAAAAUUCUAACUUCUCUUGUAAACCAGCUGUCACAGUUCAGGGCAACUGCACCUGUAUUCCCUCUCCACAUUCAGCAAGGGCACCUGCCCUAGGCACUCAGCUCCACAGUGGUCAUCUCUCUUGGGUAGAGACCCACAUCUCUCCCUCCUGAAUGGAGUUUCUCCAGGCUGCAUGACUCUCUGCCUACAGUGUGAUAUCUCCAGCAAGACAGACUGCCUAAACAGCCAGUGUCUGUGCUUUGCUUACUCUUUGAAGGCUGAUGAACAGCAUCAUUGCCCACAGUUAGAAAUUAGCACACAGCUCUUUCUAAGUAAGCACAUAUAUUGUUAAGGUGAAACCAUUCCACAGAAAACAUAUUAAAGCAAUCAAGAACCUACAUAUGUGCUAACAGUAUUAUCAGAGAUCAUCCCAACUCCAACAAGGGCUUUGGUUAGUGAUCAGACCUUCAAACCCCACCAAGGGGUUUUUCUGUGAUCCAAGUUCAUGACAGCUGUUAGCUCAGAACCAGUCUCCCUGAAUCUGAGAGUUCCCUCAUGAAUUUGAGGGUCCCUCCUUUAUACAAUUUGGGCCUCUGAUCUUGUCCUCGUGUAACAGGUGAUCAGCAGACAGGUCCUCUUCUCAGGAUGAAGCUUAAAAAGUCUGAGGACACUGUUUCAAAUAGUCUUAUGAAGCUCUUAACACUUCCCAGGUUUUACAUCCUAGAGAUGUUACAUACAAUCCUACAAUAAUACAUCAACAUUUGCAUUUUUAAUACAGUGAACUUCUAAAAUACUUAACCAUAAUUCAACAAGGUUUGUCAAGGAUAUUUCAGGAAAUCGCCAUAUCUGUCACACCAGCCACUCACAAUGGGCUUUGCAUCCAACUAUUGACCUCGACGCAGAAAUAGACUAAAGUCAUAAGUAAUCUGUGUAGUAUGAUACACACCAAUGGUGAUUUAGUAUGAGAAAACUGCAUGCUGGAUUGAAUUGCACUUUCAGGCUGAUGACAAUGCACAUGCAGCUUUGGAAAGACAGAGACCCCAAUUUAACUCUCACCAAUGAUACUCCCCUAUACAAUGAUCUCAUAGCUCUGCAUGUACUGCUUUCUCAUUAAGUGUCUCGCCAAUAUUUCUCAGAGGCAGAAGUGUGUAAUAAAUGACCUUUUACAUAUUAAACA